CACACCCAUCUUGUAAAAUCUUACCUUCUGUUUCAAAAGUGUGACUUUGCUCGAUUUGCGUUUGAUUCUAUGCCAAACGCAAGCUUUAGAUUGUAAAAUUCUAUGCUAUGGGCUUAUGCACGCGUGAAAAAUCACCAAGAAGCUUUUAAAUUGUACCAUUGCUUGUUAAAUGAAACUUAGAGCCGGAUAAGUUAAAUGAAACUUAGAGCCAGAUAAGUAUACUUCUACGUUUGUUUUGAAAGCUUGCACUGGUGCAUUAGAAUUUAAGGAGGUUGUUCUGCUUCAAUAUGAUAUGCUCUUUCGAGAACUAGAGUGAUAUUUUUAUUGGGACUGAUCCUGUUGACGGGCUUUGUAAAAUGGGCGAUUUGUAGAUUUAGCAAGAGACGUAUUUGAUAAAAUGUCUGGGAAAGAUGUUAUAAUGUGAAAAGCAAUGCUUUUGGGUUUGUCGCAGAGUGUUUUAUCCUAGGGAGGCAUUUGGGUUUAUUAGGAAUAAGCAAUCGGUUGAUGUGGCUAUACCAUUUAUGCAAAAUUUGGAUAACUAGAUGCAAUUAAAUCUUUGCUUCAAGGGCUGAAAGGAAGGGAUUUGGUUGCUUGAUCAGCAUUUAUGGAUGCCCUUGUUCAAUCAGGGUAUCCUGAAGAUGCUCUGUCACUACUUCCUGAUUGUGCAGAAAUAUUGUCCCUGAGAUUAGAUAAAAGCGUGCACUGUUAUAUUGUUAAAACCCAUAUUAAUUUGGGUAUAUCAGUCGGAACAGCCUUUGUUUCCUUGUCUGCUAAAAGUGGAUUCUUUGCUUCCGCAUUGACUAUAUUCAAUAAAAUGGCAUGCAAAAUUAUUGUGACGUGGAAUGCUUUGAUAAAUGGGUACACACAGCAUGGUGGCAUAUAUCUGAAAUAUGCCCAGACUCGGGAACUAUGGUGGAUUUGCUUUCAGUUCAGCAUUUUUCCUUUUAUAUGACCAAGACCAAGGAUCUUGCAUCCAUAGAAUCAUUACAGAGUAUGGCUUUGAAUCUCUAUGUCAUGUAAAAAAAGCUUUCAAUUGACAUGUAUGACCAAUGUGGAAGCCUUUCCACCGCUGAAUUCUUGUUCAAGGGAACCGAGUCUGAAAAGGAUGAGAUAUCUUGAAAUGUAUUGAUUGCAGGAUGUGCACAGGGGACAUGCUAAAGAAGCUAUUCCAACAUGUUGCAGGAUGAAAGUAGAAUUUUCAUCCUAAUUUAGUUACAAAUUGGGAGCGUCCUUCCUGCACUGCCAUAUCUGUCAGCCUCAAAGAAACGCCUGGCUUUUCAUGCCUGUAUUUGAGCCUCCAAAUUGUCUUAUCGAUAUGUACACUAAACGUGGUGAGCUUCAUUACUUAAGAACAUAUUUCUUAAGACGAGGAAAGAUAGUUUCAUUGAAUGUGAUGCUAGCAGGGAAUGCAGUUCAUGGGCAACGACAUGCAGGUUCAGUAGAUGGAGGAAAAUAUUUGAUUCCAUGCACAAAAAGCACCAGCUUGAACCAGGUUUGGAACACUAUGCUUGAAUGGUGGAUCUGUUACGUCGUGCUGGAUUAUUUGAUGAAAUUUUGCACUUAAUCAAGGAAAUUUCACGGGAUCCUGCAGAUGCCAAGGAGGCGGGGAGAUGCCUGAUGUACAACAUCAAAGAUGAUCAAGACAAAGCUGAAGAAAAGUCCAGGAUGGAGUUGGGUGUGGGGAAGUAGACAAAUAUAAGGUAUAUUUGCAUUUGGAGGGGUGACAAGGGCUAUUCACAAGGAAAAGAAUAUUAUUCGUAAUAGACCUACAACCAGUUGACCAUGCGCGUUUAGGUAAAAAAAAUCUUUUCUAAUAAAACUUCCUAUAUAAUGGCAAGAAUAUGUUGGUUGGGGGUCUAUCAAGGGUAAAUU